UUAACGCUGGCGGCGUGCAUAACACAUGCAAGUCGAACGAUGAAACUUAACUGAUUUCUUCGGAAUGAUUUUAAGUGGAUUAGUGGCGGACGGGUGAGUAACGCGUGAGUAACCUGCCUUGGAGAAGGGGAUAGCCUUUGGAAACGAAGAAUAAUACCCUAUGAUAUGAUAAUAUCUCAUGAUAUUAUCAUCAAAGAUUUAUCGCUCUAAGAUGGACUUGCGUCUGAUUAGUUAGUUGGUGAGGUAACAGCUCACCAAGGCAGCGAUCAGUAGCCGGCUUGAGAGAGUGUACGGCCACAUUGGGACUGAGACACGGCCCAGACUCCUACGGGAGGCAGCAGUGGGGAAUUUUGCACAAUGGGGGAAACCCUGAUGCAGCGACGCCGCGUGAUUUAGAAGGCCUUCGGGUUGUAAAAAUCUUUUGUAUGGGAAGAAAAUGACAGUACCAUACGAAUAAGGACCGGCUAAUUACGUG
rnacentral:rRNA from 1 species